CGACCUGAGAUCAAGCAAGGUAC
rnacentral:rRNA from 3 species